CCCGAUGAACCUGAAUAUCCAUUAUGGAAAAUUCAUCAUUAGAAUUGUAAUAUUUAAAUAAUAUUAUAAUAAUAGUGUGCAUUUUUUCCAUAUAAGGACAUUGUAAUCUAUUAGCAUAUUAAAUUUAUCAUAAAAUUAUAUCAUAUUGUUUAUUCAAUUAAAAUGCUUGCGUUUUAACAUGAAAUAAAAGUUGUAAAUUUGAUAAAGUGCUGAUAGAUUUAUAAAAAUACAGUGCGUUAAUUUUUCGGAAUUAUAUAAUGGCAUAAUUAUCAUUGAUUUUUGUGUUUAUUAUAUGCACUUGUAUGAUUAACAAUGCGUAAGAUCAGGAUACCUUCGGG
rnacentral:rRNA from 1 species